GAAGUGCCAACUGCUUUGAUAUUGUCCAGUAUUUCCAGUGGGACAGAUAGGCAAGUCAUCACAUGGAAAAUAAUUUUGUCAUUGUUUGUUUGACUACGAGUUUCUUAUAAAACUUUCAUCUACCUGUACCUCAUAGUGUGUUAUGAUUAUUGUUUUCAGAGAUGAACAUCUAUGCGCAAUUGCAGAGGCACCGGAAAUUGAAACUCUUGACAACAGCCUGCAUGACAUGAGCAUUGGAGAAGAGGAGCUGAAUGAAAAUGCCUUCAAUGAUCACAUGAACAGUGUGAUUGAUUGGGCAGAAGAGGGGCCCACAUUUCACAGGGACCCGGACGACAGCUCUGAUGAGGAAUAUCUUCCACCAAUUUCUUUGAGGUGAGUCGAAAUCUAUUACUACUCUUUACUUUGUUUUUGUGCUGAGUUUUUACAUAUAAACAAUGUUCAGUACUAUUUUUAAAUGUUUCUAUUCUUCUUGUUGACACAGAGGUUUGGGUCAUGGCUAUAUGCC